UCAACCAUCCACCUGUCAGAGUUUGUGCCCAGAAGGUGGGGUCCUCUCCUUCCUACUGCACGUGGCCCCUCGUGAAAAGGUACACGAUGUAAGUCUGGUGGGUCAGAGCAGCACCCUGUGUGAGCCCCAGCAAGGGGCUGAAGGCCGUGGGCACGUGCCUGGAGCCGGGCCAUGCAGUCCCAAGCAGGACACCAGUUGAUUCUCAACACUUUCAUGGUGAAGAGCUCCCCUACCCGUAGCCAACCAGUGGUCUCAACUGAAGAAUGAGGAUCCUUCCCCCACAAUGUUGGUGGAUGUUUUCAUUUACGUUAGCACUUAAGAUAAAAGUGAACGAAGAAGAUUUCUCAAGUUCCGUAAUACAGGAGCAGCGUCUUUGCCGACUCAGGGCAGUUUUUGGUUCACAGCAAAGUCAAGCAGCAAGUACAGAGCCCUCUGUCCCCGUCCCCAGCACGCACAUCUCGCCCACCUCAACCUCCCUCCUACCUACCAGAGUGGCAGAGCAAUUUCUGCAGGGCAUGCUGCCUUCAUGUGACGACCCUCGGAGCUGGACCUCUUGGAUCCUAGAGGAGCCUCCUGAAUGCUCUGCUGUCCCCAGACCCCACAGAGCUGGGAGCUGGGAGCUAGGAGCUGGGAGCUGGGAGCUGGGAGCUGGGAUUGAGGGACAGUAGAUCUCACAGUCUGUGGGGAUGGACAUUUCCAGGACAGAGGGAUUUGCUCCACUCUGGGGGCAGAACAGAAGAGGCACCAGCCUGAGGCACCCGGGUGGCUCAGUGGGUUAAGCAUCUGCUGUAGAGGUCCUGGGAUCGAACCCCGCAUCAGGCUCUAUGCUCAGCGGGGAGCCUGCUUCUCCCUCUCCCUCUGCCCUGCUCAUGCUC